AACGAACGCUGGCGGCAGGCUUAACACAUGCAAGUCGAACGCCCCGCAAGGGGAGUGGCAGACGGGUGAGUAACGCGUGGGAACAUACCCUUUUCUACGGAAUAGCUCUGGGAAACUGGAAUUAAUACCGUAUACGCCCUACGUGGGAAAGAUUUAUCGGGGAAGGAUUGGCCCGCGUUGGAUUAGCUAGUUGGGGGGGUAAAGGCCUACCAAGGCGACGAUCCAUAGCUGGUCUGAGAGGAUGAUCAGCCACAUUGGGACUGAGACACGGCCCAAACUCCUACGGGAGGCAGCAGUGGGGAAUAUUGGACAAUGGGCGAAAGCCUGAUCCAGCCAUGCCGCGUGAGUGAUGAAGGCCUUAGGGUUGUAAAGCUCUUUCACCGAUGAAGAUAAUGACGGUAGUCGGAGAAGAAGCCCCGGCUAACUUCGUGCCAGCCGCCGCGGUAACAC
rnacentral:rRNA from 1 species